rnacentral:misc_RNA from 1 species
GAUGAAGAACGUAGUGAAAUGCGAUAAGUAAUGUGAAUUGCAGAAUUCAGUGAAUCAUCGAAUCUUUGAACGCACAUUGCGCCCGUCAGUAUUCUGGCGGGCAUGCCUGUUCGAGCGUCAUUACGCCCCUCAAGUCCCCUGUGGACUUGGUGUUGGGGAUCGGCGAGGCUGGUUUUCCAGCACAGCCGUCCCUUAAAUUAAUUGGCGGUCUCGCCGUGGCCCUCCUCUGCGCAGUAGUAAAACACUCGCAACAGGAGCCCGGCGCGGUCCACUGCCGUAAAACCCCCCAACUUUUUAUAGUUGACCUCGAAUCAGGUAGGACUACCCGCUGAACUUAAGCAUAUCAAUAAGCGGGGA